CUCGCACCACCACCGCCGGGCCCCGGCCACUGCUCCCUGCCCCCAGCCGCUGAAACCAAAAAAAGAAAAUUAAGAAGCUGCGCCGCUGCUCCGCCUCGCACCACCACCGCCGGCCAUUGCUCCCUGCCCGUCUCGCACCACCAGGUCCACCACCGUUGGAGAAAACAUAGAGAGGUGAAUUGAAACUUUGAAUUUGUUAAUUUUUUUUGGGGGAAUGUGUUCUUGGAAUGAGUUUUUUGAAGACGAUGGGUCGGCAGAAUUUGUAUGUUUUUGUAUAUGUUUUUGGGAAUUUGUUGAUGCAAUUCAAAACAUAGUUGGAAUUUAUUUAGUGCAAAUUUG
rnacentral:lncRNA from 1 species